CGUCUUGUCGAUCUAGAUUGUAAAUGUGCCUGAUGGCUCACUUUACAAAAGCUUCCUAUGAUCAAUGCCAGCAGUUUACGGAUCAUAUCCUUUACUGCAUAAGGAGAGUUAGUACAAUUAUGCUGAAACUUAUAACCUCAAGUGAUAGUUCUUGCUAAAAGUUAUGUAAACAUGCUCCGGAAAAUUUAGCAUUUGAUACUGAGAAGUACCGUCUUGUCGAACUAGAUUGUAAAUGUGCCUGAUGGCUCACUUUACAAAAGCUUCCUAUGAUCAAUGCCAGCAGUUUACGGAUCAUAUCCUUUACUGCAUAAGGAGAGUUAGUACAAUUAUGCUGAAACUUAUAACCUCAAGUGAUAGUUCUUGCUAAAAGUUAUGUAAACAUGCUCCGGAAAAUUUAGCAUUUGAUACUGAGAAGUACCGUCUUGUCGAUCUAGAUUGUAAAUGUGCCUGAUGGCUCACUUUACAAAAGCUUCCUAUGAUCAAUGCCAGCAGUUUACGGAUCAUAUCCUUUACUGCAUAAGGAGAGUUACUACAAUGAUGCUGAAACUUAUAACCUCAAGUGAUAGUUCUUGCUAAAAGUCUUAUUCAGCAAGGGUAGUUGAUUAUGUUUUUUUUAGUUGCAGUUCUCCUUUUCACAAUUGUUCUUUUCCCUAAAGCCUAAGGCGUGCAUACGUCUUUGUAUUCAUCAUCGAGGCGUACAAUUUUGUAGCCCAUGAAGUAGUGAAACAAACAUAGUACGUAGAUGAUUAACCUGGCAAAAAUGUCAGGGUGCAAAGAUGUAAUGACAAAAAUUUUAAUUUAGGUUCUCUCAAUCUGAAAAAUGUCUAUAUUAAUUAACUAUUUG
rnacentral:lncRNA from 1 species